UAUGACCGCUUCUGGUAGAUUACCUCGCC
rnacentral:piRNA from 1 species